GUCUAUGCUACCUUGAACGUGCCUGAUCUUGUCUGAUCUCAGAAGCUAAGCAGGGUCGGGCCUGGUUAGUACUUGGAUGGGAGACUGCCUAGGAAGACCAGGUUCUGUAGGCA
rnacentral:rRNA from 1 species